UAAAAACCUUUUAUAUACAUAUGAACCAACUGUUGGAGCAUUUCUAAAACUGUAUUGACUUAUACAACCUCCAGAAACACACUAUUAUUGGAUCUUGAAGUAUACUACUUAAAUUCUACUUGCGAUGUAUUGUAAUCUCAUUCAGGGGCGGAGGGCCCAUUAUGGCUCAUUAUGGCCCAAGCCAUACAAAAAAAAAAGUCCGCCGGCCCAACAUCUAAACCCUAAUCACUGCCGCUCCGAGCGACCGCGCCUCCGCCCGCCGUCCGCCGCCCUAACACUGCCGACCUGUCGACUGCCGUCUGCUCAGCCGGCCAGCCACUAUCCGCCGAGCGCCCGACGGCCCGAGCAGGCGAGCAGCUCCGCAUCGCGCGACGUCCCAAGCAGGUGAGCAACCAGGGGCAGUAAAGGCGUUCGCGCGACGUCCAACAGUGCACCUGCGCGCGCGACGUCUCGCUGCUUUCUCCAACUCCUGUUCGGUAUCGCCGUUUCUCGCUUGGAGGUUGUCCUGUAGCGGGGACGACCGCCCAUUCCGGCGCCCGCUCUUCUGCUCCUCCUCGCCUUCCUGUUUCUGCUGCGGGGAGUUCUUCCGCCGCGAGCCGGGACACCGUCGCCGCCGGCCGCCCGCUGUCCGACGCGCAGAGCCUCGUGUCCAAGCGUGGCAAGUUCAAGCUCGGAUUCUUCCGUCCAGGUGUGUAGAGCCAUACCUAAAUUUUUUUUCGUCCUCCGCCACUGAUCUCAUUGGACACUACAGCUGCAGUUAGCAACCAAAUUUAGCUAUAAAUUUUGUAAGUAGUUGCUUCCUUAUCCGAAGAAAAAAAAAGAGCAAAACAACAACUUUUUCUUACGUCCUAUCAUGUUCCCAAAUGCUUAUAUUUGACUCAUAACAACUCUUAUACACGUUCACGUACACUUUCUUUGCAUUAAGACAUGUUAACAAACUCAGCACGCGCGCAAAGGCGCGCAAAAUACACUAGUUCAGACUACAAGUAGAAUGUAGAGUCUACUCAGACAGUGGCCAUAAAAAGCUAUUGCAGCGAUGAAGCUGGGAUGUGCAUCAGAGAAUGGAGAGGAUCGGAUCAGAAGAAGUGUUGAGGAACUGAGAAACAGGGAUUGUCCCAAAGUUCUGCACGGCGGAUGUAUUUUUUUAACAGCAUAGGAGGGACGAGCCCUUUCUGGCCUUUAUUAAAAUUGAAAGAGUUCAUGAACUAA